rnacentral:lncRNA from 1 species
UUAAGGUAGCACAAUACAAAGAUUUUAUAACUCCAACUCCCAAGUUUUAAAAUGCUGUAACUUUCUUAAUAAUGCUUGAAAAUUUAUAAAAGUGGUAGUUUUGGAUAGCUAACAGAUUACUCUUUCAAAUUAAUGCAAUGUUAGUAUUAUGCAACAAUUAUGUAACCAAUUAUAAUGUUAACUGUGUCUAAAAUAUUUUUCACCAAAUUUCCACUUUCAAAUGAAAUUAGCUUCUGCAUAGGUAUCCCUAGAGGGUUGAUUUUAUUAUAUGUUGUUCCUAUGGCCAUUAUCUACAAAAGGGUGUCUCAGAUUUCAGAUAGAAUGUAUAGAACAAAUUUUACACCUAAUUAAACAUUAUCUUCUUUUAUGUGAUUAGGAUGUUUCACUAAUUAGAGAUUUAUGAGAGAAUGGAAUACCAUAGAGACAAUCUGAGACACCCUUUUGAAGCCCAUGAUGUGUUGAUUAAGAUUUCGUUAAAAUUUUCU